UGGACAUUUAGAUGGCUCCCAUGUCUUGGCUAUUGUAAAUAGUGCUGCAAUGAACAUAGGGGUGCAUGUAUCUUUUCCAGUUAUGGUUUUGUCCAGAUAUAUGCCCAGGAGUGGGAUUGCUGGAUCAUAUAGCAACUCUUAAUUUUAGGUUUUUGAGAAACAAACGUUCUGUUUCCCAUAGUGGCUGCACUAAUUUACAUUCCCACCAACAGUGUAGGAGGUUCCCUUUACCAAUUGAGGGACAUUUAAAUAACAUAAGAUUCCCCAGCAGAGCUGGAGAUUCUGAGCGCACUCAGCGUCUAGGGAGUGGGGACGGAAGUCCGUAGUUUUAUUAAGCUCCUCCAGAUGAUGUUCCAUCUUUAGGGACCGCAGAAGUGUUGUAUAAAAAACUCCUAUAUAUCCCUUUAACCUCUGGGUCUGAGGGUCGCCUGUGGCCCAUGCUUUGUAUAUGGCCCCUUGUCUAUCUGACACUCCCCGCCCCGCGUGCAAAUCCCCUGGGUCUCGACAGGGUCUGAGUCGCCGGGAUGGCCAGGUCCGGAGCUGGGGAGGAGCCGAAAGGAAGAUCGUGAUUUCAGGUCUUCAAGAGUCCCACAGGUGUGAGAGAGAAUCAGAAGAAAACUUAGGAAAAGGAGUUAGGAUUUACCCCAAAUACUCAUUUCUGGGUUGACCCUCGUACCCAAAGCCAGAGAAUGGCGGGAAGCGCCUGAUGGCUGAACCUCGGAGAGUAAGGGGUCUAACGACUGCAGGCGCACGGACAAGCCUACUCCUUAAAACGCCUUCCUUCUGCGUACUUUUCACUCCGUGGAGGAUUCGGCCCGAAAGGGGGCGCUAUAAGGCUGCUCGGUUUCUUUCGCUCCUCUUCCCGGUGCGCGCUUCUCGGUGGUGCUCGCGAUCCCAGCCGCCAUGCGGUUUCCCGACUCCGAGGCUGGACGCGGGAAGCUACCGGAGUCGGGGGCUGCGACCGACGCGGGCCUGUCUACAGUGCCCCUUCAGUCUUCUCUCCUACCUGGACCUGAAACCCCAUGACACCGUUUAGACUUUCUUCUUUUUAUCCUCCUGCAUUGUACUCGGUUUUCUGGCAACCUUUUUAAGCAGAGGUCUUAUCCCAGACCUUUCCCUGGGGGCGGCCAGUCAGGACUGCUCCCUUCUCCACCGGCAGGUGGCCGUCGAGCUGGCGUCCGAGAGGGUGACCAGUAGUGGGAGAGCCCAGGACCAGACGGGACUUUCGGGCCGUGGCACCACACUGGGUAGCUGAGUCAACUAGCGAAAGACACGAUUAAAGAGGCUGGGGGAGCACCAAACCGCUCAGGACUCCAGAAACCGAAAAACAAGCGAGGAAAGAAUGAGAAUAAGCACUUCUUUAAGAAUUAUUCUGUUGAAUUUUCACAAGGGGACCUAGAAUACUGAAAAAUGAAAGCAAAUGGACAGUAAAGUCGUCAAGACUCAGUUUCAUAGUGUCUGUUUUCCACCGACAACUCUUGGACACUUUGAAAGAAGAAAAUAAAACACUAUUUCAACAUCAGAACUGCAUCAAGUUGCAAAUGGAAAAUUGGUACAAACUGAGAAGCAACGUCAAGUCCUGUACACAUACAAAGUAAAAACAUAACCCAAUGGAUUCUGGUGAAGUCCCUCCUCUCUUGCUGUGAGCCUCGACCUCACCAAGACGACUUCAACAAGCAGAAGAAAGACAAAAAGGAAGUGGGAGAAAGAACGGGAUGCCAACAGGAACAGUCUCGAAAUCUUGGCCCUGAGAUUAAAGUCAUGACAACCUACACACCGAACUAUCUAGAGUUCAGCCUCUGAAAAACAUUUCAAAUUAAAAAUACUUGGUUACUACCUUACCCCUCUUAUCUUCCAUGUCUUGCAUUCCAAGCUCAACACAUUAAACAAACAACAACAACAAAAACACUCACUCCUACGUAUAGCUCAGAUGGUGAAGUCUAAAGACAAAUGCGGUCCCUGUUUCUACCUUGCGCUCUUCUACCACUAGCACGUGGGGAUCCGGACACUGUGGCCUCCCUGCCGCGCGGUCUGAAACCUCCAAUACCACCGGGAUACACUAAAAUCAGAAACUCAACCGCAGGACUUCUCUCAAGUGCUCCAGCCACGGAAAGAGCAGCGAGGCUCUCUGAAAACCGCGACAGUCGGACAAAACGAAGGGGAUCUUCCUUCGGGAAAGCGGUCUCAGCUCACUUCUUUUACCGGGAAUGGGCCUGCUUGUUCCCCACGUACCCAGAGGAAGCGCAGCAGAGACGCGUAACUAACCGCCUCUCCGCCCAUCUGAAACUAACGCCAACCUAAGCACUCGUCCACUUUUUUCCUCCUCCACCUUCCUGUGGCCGCUGAAGCCGCGGACUCCACGCCUGCCUUUCGUUAUCGUUACCUGUAUUCUGCUGUCGCACUAAUCUCCCUCCUGGUGUUAACUUUCCCAAAGAUAUCAGCCCACUCGUCUUGGAGUCUCUAAAGCCGAGAACUGCCAAACCUGGCUGACUUUCAGAAUCAUCGGGGGGAGCUUUUAAACAAGGUCGAUUUCUGGCUUAGCCCAUCAGAGAUAAUUCAGAAUUUCCUCCAAACCUAGUACCUGAGUUGACUGUCGGAACAAAUUUUGGCUGAAGGUGGGAAGCGUCUCCCCUUUCCACAGGGACAAUGAGAUCUCAAGAACUAAUUUGGCAACCGGCGAGCUCAUUUUGCACGUCGGGCCCAGCGGCUGAACCUCCCCCCUGGUGUUCUUUCAUUCAAGAAAAGGAUUCCGUAUAUACUAAGAGGGGCAAAAAUCGAUGCAGCAUCCUGCUGUCUGUUCUUGUCCCCAACUUGGUCUC